UGGGGAAUAUUGCACAAUGGGCGCAAGCCUGAUGCAGCCAUGCCGCGUGUGUGAAGAAGGCCUUCGGGUUGUAAAGCACUUUCAGCGAGGAGGAAGGGUUCAGUGUUAAUAGCACUGUUCAUUGACGUUACUCGCAGAAGAAGCACCGGCUAACUCCGUGCCAGCAGCCGCGGUAAUACGGAGGGUGCAAGCGUUAAUCGGAAUUACUGGGCGUAAAGCGCACGCAGGCGGUUUGUUAAGUCAGAUGUGAAAUCCCCGCGCUUAACGUGGGAACUGCAUUUGAAACUGGCAAGCUAGAGUCUUGUAGAGGGGGGUAGGAUUCCAGGUGUAGCGGUGAAAUGCGUAGAGAUCUGGAGGAAUACCGGUGGCGAAGGCGGCCCCCCUGGACA
rnacentral:rRNA from 1 species